GAUCUGCUGUGCUUUUCCAGCACCACACUUUUCAACUCUCGCCUGGUGAGGAAUAGGAUAGCUCAUGCAGAGAUGCUGAAGCCUCCAUGUCCUGGCAACCAAGGAUAAGAGGCAUGUCAAUGGUCUCCAUGAUCAAGAUGUUUGUUCUGCAAGGCAUCUACUCCUUUCACCUGGCAUGGCUGUCUCCUGCAACCCACCAGCUCAGAUAUUGACACUAUGGUCCAGUGACUCUUUAUCAGAACUGAAAUUCUCAUUCUCCUCUGUGUCUGCUUUUCCUUUCUGUCCAUCGCAUGCUGGGGAAACUUUAAAGAAUCAGCUCAACAAAUGAAGAUCUUUCCGAUCCCAUGAAGAAUCUCACAGCUAUAUCAUUGACUAAUGCAUCACAACUUCUCAACACUCCAUUCAUUAACAAACCAAGUACCGUAGAUUUUAAAAAAAUUUGCAAAAAUAAACUGUGGUGAAGAGGAAGUAAUAGUGAUUUCCCCAUAGCCCUGGGGUCAGAAUUACUGCUUCUGGAAGUGAUGGUGCUACUUCCAUACUCUCCUCAGCUCGAAGCGUCUCCUCUGCACACUGUGACUGCAAUUUUAGCAACUCCAGCCAAAAUUAAGAGUUUGCCAGAGUCAAAAUAGAAUACACUUAAAGACUCAAGAAGUUUGAAACCUUUGGACACUUGUAUCAGGAAGCUUCUCCGUAAUAUUCUCAGCCCCAAAGCUGAUUGAAAGUUUAAAAUUAGCACCAAGCAUUUCCUCCACAACAGUCAAACUGAUGGAAACUUCACAACGCUCCUUUGACAACAUUUUCCAAAUUUGAGACCCCCAUCAAGUAGAAAAACUGGGGAAGAAUGUGCCUGGAAACACCACAAACUGAAAGUUAAUCUCCAAACCACAUACGAUUCGAAUAUGGAACUGUAUCACUGUUCCUUCACUGUUGCUAUACAAGAACUCUGUUUCUAACUGCACUGUUGAUAUGACUACACCACAUAGACUACAUUGGUUCAAGUUGAUUGUUCACCAUCACAUUCUAAAGGGCAUUCAGAGAUGUGCCAUAAAUACUGUUCUAGCCAGCCGUGCUCACCUCCUAUGAGUGAAUUAAAAUACAUCAAGCUGAUAAACAUUUAACAACAUAACACGUAAACAAGAUAAACAUAUUUAGUGCAAUUCCAAGUGUCAUCACUUUUGUUUCUGAACAAUUAUUUAAACCAAUUGUAUUUAAUUUCUGUAUAAUUUCUUCAAUGAAUGCUAUCAAGUUAUCAAGUAUGGCUCUGGAUAAUUCCAUGCCAUUAUAGAUUCACAAGUACUUAAUUACUGUGCAUACUCAGGUAGAAGUAAAUUUGGGGGAACCUGUUCAUUCUUGGCAAAUAGUUAAGGGGUUACCUCUUACACGGGUAAUGUAAAGGCUUAUUUUCAACUAAACAUAUCUCCCCACCUCCUCCCCUAACAUAACUUCUUAAAGAAUCCACGUGGUGUUCAGGGAAGUGGUUCCCUUACUAGCCAUUUGCUGCCUGACCCUUUCUCUGUUUUUAUUAAGGAGCCUUCUGCAACUCCAUGCACUGGGAGCGGAGGCUGUGGUAUUGGCUGCUCGUGCAAAUUCAAUGAUGCUCAGGGGCCAGGGAAGGAAAAGGAAGGCUUGCAUUUUUAAAAAUGUUGUGCUGGCAGCUCCCAGCCCUUGUCCCACAGUACUCAUAAUGGCCCGAAUGGCAAGGACGAUGCUGCACCUCCCCUUCCCAGGAAACCUGAGAGUCUUAGAUUCAUGUCAAACUGCACCAUUUGGUCCAACCAGUCCAUGUCGACCAUAUUCCCAGCUCCAAUAGUCCCACCUGCCUGCGCUUUGCCCUCACGUUUCUUUUUUGUGUACUUACUCAUUUUUAAAAAUUGUAAUUGUACCCGCACCCACCACUUCCUCAGGAAGCCCAUUACACACAAGAACCACUCUGCAGAAAAAAAAUUACCCCUUGUGUCCUUUUUAAAUCUUUCUCUGUCACCUUAAAAAUGUGGUCCCUGGUCUUGGAAACCCCCACUCUAGGGAUAAGACACCUGGCAUUCACCAUUCAUGAUAUUGUAAAACUCAAUAAGGUCACCCCUCAACCUCCAACGUUCCAGUGAAAGAUGUCCCAGCCUAUCCAGCCUCUGCU